rnacentral:rRNA from 1 species
UAGGGAAUUUUGCGCAAUGGGCGAAAGCCUGACGCAGCGACGCCGCGUGAGGGAAGACGGCCUUCGGGUUGUAAACCUCUGUCCAUGGGGAAGAUAGUGACGGUACCCGUGGAGGAAGCCCCGGCUAACUACGUGCCAGCAGCCGCGGUAAUACGUAGGGGGCGAGCGUUGUCCGGAAUUAUUGGGCGUAAAGGGUGCGUAGGCGGCAUUUUAAGUCAUUUGUGAAAUUCUACGGCUUAACCGUAGACUUGCAGGUGAAACUGGGAUGCUUGAGUGCAGGAGAGGAGAACGGAAUUCCUGGUGUAGCGGUGAAAUGCGUAGAUAUCAGGAGGAACACCAGUGGCGAAGGCGGUUCUCUGGACUGUAACUGACGCUGAGGCACGAAAGCUGGGGUAGCGAACAGG